GCCUGGGUGGCUUGGUUGGUUAAGCGUCUGACUUUGGCUCAGGUCAUGAUCUCGCAGUCUGUGAGUUCGAGCCCCGCGUCAGGCU
rnacentral:tRNA from 1 species